rnacentral:piRNA from 1 species
UGAGACGAUGGGAGACUAAUUUAGCCUUGGCC